GUCUGCUGUGAUGUAGACACUUUUUUCUUUUGUGUUGUGAGUGAACUCUGGAGUGGGUGUUCUUUUAUAUAAUUCCUGUUCCUCAUUGCUACAAUGCCACACCGUUGCAUACUUGGAUGUAAAGGAACAGAUGUGCUGCAUGUCUUUCCGAAUCCACGCAAAUUUCACAAUCUUUUUAAGACUUGGGUCGAAAUUGUUGGAGGAAAACCAGAGAAUCUAUCUGACAAUGAAUUUCAUUACAAAAUGAGGAUAUGUGAUAUCCAUUUUAGUGAUAAUCAUAAAAAUCGCAAUAAACGCUUAAAUGCAUUGGCGUUACCAUGUCUUCAUUUGCCAGGUAUGCCCAGAGUCCAGCAGCCUGUUGUUGCCAGUGAGUGUCAGCCUUCUGCUUCCAAGCCUAUUCAUGUAAAUUUAGAAUGUCGACUUGGCGAGUUGGACAUGAGGAGGCGCCUCAGGACUUCCUCGACCUUCUCUUCGAGGAGGAUGAUAGGGAAGAGGAAGUCCUCGCCGUCGGAGAGGAGAGUGAAUGCGAGAUUUCGAAGACGAUAGGGAUGAUGUAGAUCGUUCACCGGAGGCUCCGCCUAUGUCUUCUCUUUCCCCAAACUUGCGCCAAGUGUCAUCGCCGUCAAUGGAAGAACAAUGCAAAGAAAUGCCGCCGCCGUCCUUCGCGUCCCGCGACAGGUCCCGAUCUCCCAUUGCUUCUUCGUCUGAAUCCUAGAACUUCUAUGCAGCUAGAGAACCAAAGACUUACAGAUGAAAAAGUUGAAGAAAUAGCAAAUUCUGCUGAAUCGCCAAAACAUAGCAUGCUCCAAGAACAUGAUUAUUGUUUUUCUUUAAGUCAAAAUGUUGUACCAAAGAAAAGUAAAAAAACUACAAAAAGAACUUCGAAUGAUACACUUACAUUAAACAAGAAAAUCCAUCAAACAACACUCAAAAA
rnacentral:misc_RNA from 1 species